UGCAGUCGAGCGGGGAAAGUAGCUUGCUACCUGACCUAGCGGCGGACGGGUGAGUAAUGCUUAGGAAUCUGCCUAUUAGUGGGGGACAACAUCUCGAAAGGGAUGCUAAUACCGCAUACGUCCUACGGGAGAAAGCAGGGGACCUUCGGGCCUUGCGCUAAUAGAUGAGCCUAAGUCGGAUUAGCUAGUUGGUGGGGUAAAGGCCUACCAAGGCGACGAUCUGUAGCGGGUCUGAGAGGAUGAUCCGCCACACUGGGACUGAGACACGGCCCAGACUCCUACGGGAGGCAGCAGUGGGGAAUAUUGGACAAUGGGGGGAACCCUGAUCCAGCCAUGCCGCGUGUGUGAAGAAGGCCUUUUGGUUGUAAAGCACUUUAAGCGAGGAGGAGGCUACCGAGAUUAAUACUCUUGGAUAGUGGACGUUACUCGCAGAAUAAGCACCGGCUAACUCUGUGCCAGCAGCCGCGGUAAUACAGAGGGUGCAAGCGUUAAUCGGAUUUACUGGGCGUAAAGCGCGCGUAGGUGGCCAAUUAAGUCAAAUGUGAAAUCCCCGAGCUUAACUUGGGAAUUGCAUUCGAUACUGGUUGGCUAGAGUAUGGGAGAGGAUGGUAGAAUUCCAGGUGUAGCGGUGAAAUGCGUAGAGAUCUGGAGGAAUACCGAUGGCGAAGGCAGCCAUCUGGCCUAAUACUGACACUGAAGGUGCGAAAGCAUGGGGGAGCAAACAGGAUUAAAUACCCUGGGUAGUCCAUGCCUGAAAACGAUGUCUACUACCCGUUGGGGGCCUUUGAAGGCUUUAAUGGCCGCAACUUAACGCUAAUCAGAUAGACCCGUGCUCUGGGGUGAAGUUACAGGUCGCGCGAUGUACUAUAAUAAACCUACUACAGAAAUAU
rnacentral:rRNA from 1 species